rnacentral:rRNA from 1 species
UACGUAGGGUGCAAGCGUUGUCCGGAAUCACUGGGCGUAAAGGGCGCGUAGGCGGCCGUGUAAGUCACCUGUGAAAUCCCGGGGCUCAACUCCGGGGCUGCAGGUGAGACUGCGUGGCUAGAGCACGGUAGAGGCGAGUGGAAUUCCCGGUGUAGCGGUGGAAUGCGUAGAUAUCGGGAAGAACACCGGUGGCGAAGGCGGCUCGCUGGGCCGUUGCUGACGCUGAGGCGCGAAAGCGUGGGGAGCAAACAGG